rnacentral:rRNA from 1 species
UACAGAGGGUGCAAGCGUUGUUCGGAAUUACUGGGCGUAAAGGGCGCGUAGGCGGCCCGCUAAGUCGAACGUGAAAUCCCCGGGCUCAACCCGGGAACUGCGUCCGAUACUGGCAGGCUUGAAUCCGGGAGAGGGAUGUGGAAUUCCAGGUGUAGCGGUGAAAUGCGUAGAUAUCUGGAGGAACACCGGUGGCGAAGGCGGCAUCCUGGACCGGUAUUGACGCUGAGGCGCGAAAGCCAGGGGAGCAAACGGG